rnacentral:rRNA from 1 species
UACGUAGGGUGCAAGCGUUUGUCCGGAAUUAUUGGGCGUAAAGAGCUCGUAGGCGGUCUGUCGCGUCAGGAGUGAAAAACUCGGGGCUCAACCCCGAGCCUGCUUCUGAUACGGGCAGACUGGAGGUAUGCAGGGGAGAACGGAAUUCCUGGUGUAGCGGUGGAAUGCGCAGAUAUCAGGAGGAACACCGAUGGCGAAGGCAGAUCUCUGGGCCGUAACUGACGCUGAGGAGCGAAAGCAUGGGGAGCGAACAGG